GUUUCCAGAUGGCAGUGUCUGCAAUGAGACACGUCCUGGGGGAUAACAAGGAAGGCCAUGACAUUGAGGUGGGAGUUGUCAGGAAGAGCUCUCCAGCGUUCAGAACUGUGUUGAAGCGUCUCCACAAAUAUCCACAAGGAGCGCAGAGUACCCUGGAUCAAUGGCGGUAGUAAUUUGUGGAUUUGCUCAAGUGAUUGACAUUACUGCAAUGUCUUGUGUCCUGUAGCGUUUCGUGUGGGAUGCCAUUUCAAUCAGACGACCACGAAACAGCCUGCUCAUCCAUAGGUCAUUUAUUCUGUUAUUACAUCUCACUGAAUUCUGAAA